rnacentral:lncRNA from 1 species
CUGCAGGGAACCCUGUCCCUGCAAAGGUACCCCCAGCAAGCCCAGCAGCCUGGACAUCCCUCCAGCUGCAUCCACGCUGGACACCGGACUGACCCCUUGCACAGGAUGGCGGCAUCACCCAUUCUCAGAGGAAGGUAGGAGACUGUGCUGAAUGUCACCUCCAGGAGCUGUAGGAACAGUCCCUUGACAAGGUCCCAGUGUGCCUUUCUCUGGCCGCCUGGUGUCUGGCUGGGUGUGCUUGGAGAGCACAAACCCAUGCCCUUGUUUGUGGUUUCCUUCAGCUUUGCCCCAGGUUCCCACAGACCGAGGGCACCACUCAGUCACCCCUGGCCCUUCAGUGCACUUGCAGAACUCACAGGUACCUUGGUGGAGCAAGAGCUUGUCAUGUUUGCUUCCCUUCCCUUGCCCAGAGAAUUCACCCAACCAAAGCCAACAGGAGUUUUCCCUGCAGGGAAGGCCAGAGCUGCCACCAAGGAGGGAAGCAGAGCCCCGUGGCUGUGGGAAGGACUGACCCUUUGCAGGCUGACAACAUGGAAGGACCCUCCCCAGCUGGGCAAGCUUUGUGCAGCCCUGGUUUCUGUUGCACUCGGGGCAGCUCUUUCCCAUCCUGUCCAGAGCAAGGGGAGUCUAAAGCACUUUGGAGCUCCCUCGGGGAGAGCCAGCCCGUGGCUGGGAGAAAGUAAAUAUUGCAC